UACGGAGGGGGCUAGCGUUGUUCGGAAUUACUGGGCGUAAAGGGCUCGUAGGCGGCCAACUAAGUCAGACGUGAAAUCCCUCGGCUUAACCGGGGAACUGCGUCUGAUACUGGUUGGCUUGAAUCCGGGAGAGGGAUGUGGAAUUCCAGGUGUAGCGGUGAAAUGCGUAGAUAUCUGGAGGAACACCGGUGGCGAAGGCGGCAUCUGGACCGGUAUUGACGCUGAGGUGCGAAAGCGUGGGGAGCAAACAGG
rnacentral:rRNA from 1 species